AGUGAAAGAACUUUUAGAGCUGCUGUUCAACACGACAGCUAAGAGGAGGAAACAGAAAGAUCUACAAAUAUUACCUGAGGUUUUUGCAGAUGUUGAUGAAAGACAAGAUGAUCUGGAUGCACCUGAUGGAUCCUUGCAGCAACAAGUUGUAAAGAAAUCAACUUUACCUCAUGCUUCAAGCCUCAACACAAUAAAGUGGAAGUCAUUGUGUAGGU